rnacentral:rRNA from 1 species
CGAGUCCGAGGAGCUAAGGCUCCAAAGUGAUGCGAGUCAGACUUCCCAGAAAAGCCCGAACCACGUUAAUUUCUAAUUACCUGUACCCGAAACCGACACAGGUGGGUAGGUAGAGUAUACUAAGGGGCGCGAGAUAACUCUCUCUAAGGAACUCGGCAAAAUGACUCCGUAACUUCGGGAGAAGGAGUGCCUUAUUUAUAAGGUUGCAAUAACAAGAUCCAAGCAACUGUUUAUCAAAAACACAGGUCUCCGCUAAGUCGUAAGACGAUGUAUGGGGGCUGACGCCUGCCCAGUGCCAGAAGGUUAAAGAAGUUGGUUAGUGUAUGCGAAGCUGAUGACUGAAGCCCUGGUGAACGGCGGCCGUAACUAUAACGGUCCUAAGGUAGCGAAAUUCCUUGUCGGGUAAGUUCCGACCCGCACGAAAGGCGUAAUGAUUUGGAUACUGUCUCGGAGAGAGGCUCGGUGAAAUAGACUUGUCUGUGAAGAUGCGGACUACCUGCACCAGGACAGAAAGACCCUAUGAAGCUUUACUGUAACUUGAAAUUGGAAUUGGACUUUGCUUGCGCAGUAUAGGUGGGAAGCGUUGAAGAUAUUCUUGCGGGAGUAUUGGAGCUAUCAGUGAGAUACCACUCUUGUAAUGUUAGAUUUCUAACUUUGAACCAUAAUCUGGUCAAAGAACAGUUUCAGGUGGGCAGUUUGACUGGGGCGGUCGCCUCCCAAAUGGUAACGGAGGCGUACAAAGGUUUCCUCUGAACGGAUAGAAAUCGUAUCUAGAGUGUAAAGGCAUAAGGAAGCUUGACUGUGAGACCUACAAGUCGAGCAGGGACGAAAGUCGGUCUUAGUGAUCUGACGGUACUGAGUGGAAAGGCCGUCACUCAACGGAUAAAAGUUACUCUAAGGAUAACAGGCUGAUCUCCCCCAAGAGUUCACAUCGACGGGGAGGUUUGGCACCUCGAUGUCGGCUCAUCGCAUCCUGGGGCGGUAGUACGUCCCAAGGGUUGGGCUGUUCGCCCAUGAAAGCGGUACGCGAGCUGGGUUCAGAACGUCGUGAGACAGUUCGGUCCAUAUCCGGUGUAGGCGUUAGAAUAUUGAGAGGAGCCUUCUUUAGUACGAGAGGACCGAGAAGGACACACCGCUGGUGUACCAGUUAUCGUGCCAACGGUAAACGCUGGGUAGCUAUGUGUGGAGUGGAUAACCGCUGAAAGCAUCUAAGUGGGAAGCCCACCUCAAGAUGAGUAUUCUCACAGGGUUAGCCUGGUAAGGUCACGGGAAGACCACCCGUUGAUAGGCACUCGGUGGAAGUCCAGCAAUGGAUGAAGCC